UACGUAGGGUGCGAGCGUUGUCCGGAAUUACUGGGCGUAAAGAGCUCGUAGGUGGUUUGUCGCGUCGUCUGUGAAAUUCCGGGGCUUAACUCCGGGCGUGCAGGCGAUACGGGCAUAACUUGAGUACUGUAGGGGAGACUGGAAUUCCUGGUGUAGCGGUGAAAUGCGCAGAUAUCAGGAGGAACACCGGUGGCGAAGGCGGGUCUCUGGACUGUCACUGACACUGAGGCUCGAAAGCGUGGGUAGCAAACGGG
rnacentral:rRNA from 1 species